rnacentral:lncRNA from 10 species
AUUCAAAAACUCCAAGUCAAAUGUAUUGAGCUUUUGGUCUGAGAACCAGAAAUGAAGACAAGAAGAAAGGGAGCCUUCAAGCAAUAUAUUUCAAUACUUAAUUGGAGUUAAUAGGACUGAAUUGAAAUGGCUUCCAAGAAGUAAGAAAAAAUCAGAAGAUACACUUCCAAGCCUCAUGAAGCAUUAACAGAACCUUGCCAUUCUUCAUCAAGAAACAGAGUGUCUUUAACCUCCCCUUGAACUGUGUGGGCACUUGUGACUGCCUCAAUCAACAGAAUAUGGUAGAAGAAAAAUGACAAGGAUCUGUCAUAAAAAGGAAUACCUGGCUUUUUCUCCCUUGGGAGGCUUACCUUAGAAGCCAGACAACAGAUGCAAGGAGACCUAGGCCACAUGGGGAUGCCACAUGCAAGUGUUCCAAUCAACAGAACCCAGCUAAGAUCUUGGCUGGUUGAACAGCAUCAACCACCGGUCAUGGGAGUGAACAAGCCUCUAGAUGACUCCAGACCCCAGCAUUCAAGUCAUCCCAGCUGAUGCCAAGUGAAGCAGA